CCUACGGGUGGCAGCAGUGGGGAAUAUUGCACAAUGGGCGAAAGCCUGAUGCAGCAACGCCGCGUGAAGGAAGACGGUUUUCUGAUUGUAAACUUCUAUCAAUAGGGAAGAAAGAAAUGACGGUACCUAAAUAAGAAGCCCCGGCUAACUACGUGCCAGCAGCCGCGGUAAUACGUAGGGGGCAAGCGUUAUCCGGAAUUACUGGGUGUAAAGGGAGAGUAGGUGGCAAGGUAAGCGAUAUGUGAAAGCCUUAAGCUUAACUUAAGGAUUGCAUAACGAACUAUCUAGCUAGAGUACAUGAGCGGAAAGCGGAAUUCAUAGUGUAGCGGUGAAAUGCGUAGAUAUUAGGCAGAACACCAGUGGCGAAGGCGGCUUUCUGGACUGAAACUGACGCUGAGGCUCGAAAGCGUGGGGAGCGAACAGGAUUAGAUACCCGUGUAGUC
rnacentral:rRNA from 1 species